rnacentral:rRNA from 1 species
GACGAACGCUGGCGGCGUGCUUAACACAUGCAAGUCGAACGGAAAGGCCUCUUUCGGGGGGUACUCGAGUGGCGAACGGGUGAGUAACACGUGAGUAGCCUGCCCUUGACUUUGGGAUAACUUCAGGAAACUGGGGCUAAUACCGGAUAGGAGCUCCUGCUGCAUGGUGGGGGUUGGAAAGGUUCGGCGGUUGGGGAUGGACUCGCGGCUUAUCAGCUUGUUGGUGGGGUAGUGGCUUACCAAGGCGUUGACGGGUAGCCGGCCUGAGAGUGUGACCGGCCACAUUGGGACUGAGAUACGGCCCAGACUCCUACGGGAGGCAGCAGUGCGGAAUAUUGCACAAUGGGUGGAAGCCUGAUGCAGCAACGCCGCGUGCGGGAUGACGGCCUUCGGGUUGUAAACCGCUUUCGCUCAUGACGAAGCUUUGUGUGACGGUAGUGGGUAAAGAAGCACCGGCUAACUACGUG